GGGCCCGUGGGGUAGCCAGGAUAUCCUUUUGGCCUUCGGAGCCAAAGACCGGGGUUCGAAUCCCCGAGGGCCCG
rnacentral:tRNA from 1 species